CACACACAGUUAACACACACACACAGGUAACGCACACACAGUUAACACACACACACAGGUAACGCACACACAGUUAACACACACACACACACACAGGUAACGCACACACAGGUAACACAAAGGUAACACACACACACACACACACACACACACACA